rnacentral:rRNA from 1 species
AAAGGAAUAGACGGGGGCCCGCACAAGCGGUGGAGCAUGUGGUUUAAUUCGACGCAACGCGAAGAACCUUACCAGGGCUUGACAUCCCCUGAAGGGCGUGGAAACACGUCGUCUCUUCGGAGCAGGGAGACAGGUGGUGCAUGGUUGUCGUCAGCUCGUGUCGUGAGAUGUUGGGUUAAGUCCCGCAACGAGCGCAACCCCUACUCUGUGUUACCAGCACGUCAAGGUGGGGACUCACAGAGGACUGCCGGUGACAAACCGGAGGAAGGUGGGGAUGACGUCAAAUCAUCAUGCCCCUUAUGUCCUGGGCUACACACGUGCUACAAUGGCCGGUACAGACGGAAGCAAACCCGCGAGGGGGAGCGGAUCCGAUAAAACCGGUCUCAGUUCGGAUUGCAGGCUGCAACUCGCCUGCAUGAAGCCGGAAUCGCUAGUAAUCGCAGGUCAGCACACUGCGGUGAAUACGUUCCCGGGCCUUGUACACACCGCCCGU